CGACAGUUUAUUUUGAUUUAUUGUAUGGUUCUCAUUUGCCUAAUACAAUAACAUUUAGUUCACAAUACAAUAUAAACAAGGGCAAGUUAAAGGUUUGACCAUAUUAAAAUACAAUAUGUAUUGGGAUUCGCGCAAUAGCUACUAGAAUUCGCGCAAGUAAAGAUAAAGCGAGCGUUCAAAAUACCAAAAAGAACUAAGACAUUUAUUGUAUGGUUCUCAUUUGCCUAAUAGAAUAACAUUUAGUUCACAAUAUAAUAUAAACAAAAUAUAAACAAGGACAAGUUAAAGGUUUGACAGUUUCACUACAUAAUGUCGACAAUAUACCUUAAUACAUGUAUUAAAAUUCGCGCAGUAGCUACUAGUUGGUGCGCCAAACGCUUUGUGGUAGCUAUACUAAAGAUAAAGCGUGCCUUCAAAAUACCUACAAGAAUUAAGACAUUUAUUAUAUGUCUUAUAUGGUUCUCAUUUGCCUAAUACAAUAACAUUUAGCUCGACGCGAAUUUUAACUAGUAUCAUAUUUCAUAACAUAAUGAACAAUGUAAACUAGCCAAUUCUUUUCACCUACGAAAUGUCGACAAUAUACCUUAAUACAUGUAUUAAAAUUCGCGCAGUAGCUACUAGAGUGCGAGCAAGUAGUAAAGAUAAAGCUUGCAUUCAAAAUACCAAGACAUUUAUUGCAUGGUUCUCAUUUGCCUAAUACAAUAACAUUUAGUUCACAAUAUAAUAUAAACAAGGAAAAGUCGUUCGAUUUGGCUAUACUGUCAGUG